CGUCAGUUUACUACUUGGAGAAGACGCUCUGUCUCAAGCAGGCGUUCUUAUGAUAGAACAUUCCCCAAGCGGUUCUCUGUGCUGGCGAAUUUGCUGGUCUGGGAGACGCCGCAAUACUUUGCGAGCGGUCUUGUCUCUCGCAGCUUUCGGCGAAGCGACACAACAGUACGGGCGUCCCAGUAUAGCAUGCAUGCGUUGUCUUGCGCCGUUAAGUCGACCAAAAACGCGCUUUCUGGCCUCGAAGCUCUCUCACUUCGAUCAGGCGAAGCCGCGCGCUCUCUCCCUGGCGUCGAUGACGCGUGAUUUCUGCCUGCGCCUCAGGGCUCGUGUUGAGAUGCGAUAGCCAAACUCCGGUGUGAGCGCUGCUGUCGUAGUUCACCAGGUGCGAGGGAGAGGCCUGGCUGGGCCAACUGGUGCAACACCCUUUUGCCGGCAGUGUUCGCCUCGCUGUGUCUUCGCUGUAUCCUCUGGAGCCUGGACGUCUAUCUAGGUCAACACACAGGCGGUGCGGAGACGGACAACAUACAAGAGCGCUGGUCUGCGGCGCGUCUGCGCUGAGUUGCUGUAAGGACGGCACGCCAGUGGGUGUCUGUUCUGUUCAUCGGGACAGUAGCGAGUUGUGCCUUCAGAUCCCGUACAUGUCUGAUCUCUGCUGAUGUCACUUCCCAGACAAAACGCAUUUCACACCCGCGAUCAACUGGACCAGCACCCCCGGAACACUUCUUUCUCAGCACGAAGUAGAAGGCAAGCACAGGGAAGAACCAAGGCAGAUUCUUGCUGCAGUCUCGUCACCACAUCCGAAUGUCCGCUAAACACCCUCAAACGAAAAGACUGAGAUCCAGAGGAUUCCCCAACUCCGCUGCAUUGUGGGUGCAUGGUCCAGGUGUUAAAAAAAAGCGCACACCAACUCCUCGAGUCGUAGGUGAGAAGCAUCUACGUCUCGGUCGACCUAUGGAUUACUUGGGCCGUUUCCGUAGCUUCGUUUCCGCAUGCUGUAUCAAACGUGUUUUUCUUGUUGCAGAAGAUUCGUGUUAAAUGUCACUGCUGGUCAAGGGCUCUGCUCACACACGCAGUCGCGCUUCUACGGACAUUAUUGCCUGUUUUGUUGAUAAUUAUGGACAAGUACCGGGCCUUCUUGCCAAAGCUUUCCAGAGCCCGUGGUUCAGCUUCAUGACAUUGCACGAAAACAGAAAUACACCAAGGGUGGAUUAUAACUGUCCCAAAAGCGACAAAACUCUCCAGCUUCCCUUGCAGGCGACCGCGCGUAGUCGCUUUUCCGUCACUCCUCAGGUGUGUUAAAGGAUGGUG
rnacentral:lncRNA from 1 species